CAAAGGACACAAAGACCUGCUUCUCAUAGACCUGUAAGGGUUGGUGUUUCACCAUGCUCCUUCAGCCACAACGCGCCACCAGUCUGUUAACAUCCCACACAGGACUGGGAACCCUGGAGAAGAUCGCAGUUCCCGGUCCUUGUUAGCUGUGACAACACCUGCGAGAGGAAGUCAACACGCUAUUGGACAGUGAGUCAUGUCUGGGAAAGACGUAAUGACAUGCAGCAUGGCUCUAUGGAUGGAAAUGGCGUUGCACCACUUUGGUCCGGACUGAAAAACCUCGACGACCUCUGGAUGGAUCCUUAAGACAAUUUUGUACGGACAUUUUGCUGCCCAGAGAAGAAAUCCUGCUGUCCUUUUCCGCUUUUUGCUUUCACUUUUCAUCUGGCCACACCUUUGGGUCAAAGUUUCAAUUUGUCCGAUGCUUUGGUUUAUGACCGAAUACCUGUAAAACUGAAUCAGCAUCA